UCCUCGCUAGCUCAAUCGGCAGAGCGGGCGGCUGUUAACCGCUAGGUUCGAAGUUCAAGUCUUCGGCGAGGAGCUA
rnacentral:tRNA from 1 species